rnacentral:rRNA from 1 species
UACGUCCAUAAAUAGUUGAAAGAACGGUUUCUGUACGAUCUCCGAAGUUAAGCAACGUUGAAACUGGUCGGUACCUAGAUGGGUGACCACUUGGGAAUUCCAGGUGCUGUAAG